CCUACGGGUGGCAGCAGUAGGGAAUAUUGCUCAAUGGGGGAAACCCUUAUGCAGCAACGCCGCGUGGAGGAUGAAGGUUUUCGGAUUGUAAACUCCUGUCGUUGGAGAAGAUAAUGACGGUAUCUAACGAGUAAGCACCGGCUAACUCCGUGCCAGCAGCCGCGGUAAUACGUAGGGUGCAAGCGUUGCACGGAAUCACUGGGCGUAAAGGGCGCGUAGGCGGGAUAGCAAGUCAGAUGUGAAAUUCUAUGGCUUAACCAUAAACCUGCAUUUGAAACUGUUAUUCUAGAGUGUGGUAGAGGCAAGUGGAAUGCUUAGUGUAGCGGUAAAAUGCGUAGAUAUUAGGAGGAACACGAGUGGCGAAGGCGGCCUGCUGGAACUUAACUGACGCUGAUGCUCGAAAGCGUGGGGAGCAAACAGGAUUAGAUACCCGUGGAGUC
rnacentral:rRNA from 1 species